AUUGAACGCUGGCGGCAGGCCUAACACAUGCAAGUCGAACGAGUGGCGGACGGGUGAGUAAUGUCUGGGAAACUGCCCGAUGGAGGGGGAUAACUACUGGAAACGGUAGCUAAUACCGCAUACCAUCGGAUGUGCCCAGAUGGGAUUAGCUAGUAGGUGGGGUAACGGCUCACCUAGGCGACGAUCCCUAGCUGGUCUGAGAGGAUGACCAGCCACACGGGAGCUGAGACACGGCCCAGCACCCGACGGGAGGCAGCAGUGGGGAAUAUUGCGCAAUGGGCGCAAGCCUGAUGCAGGCAUGCAGCGUGUAGGAAGAAGGCCUUCGGGUUGUAAAGUACUUGCAGCGGUGAGGCGUUACCCGCAGAAGAAGCACCGGCUAACUCCGUGCCAGCAGCCGCGGUAAUAC
rnacentral:rRNA from 1 species